UCGCCUGUUUAUCAAAAACAUCGCUUACUGCCCCCACCAUUUUAAGUAAAGCUGCCCAGUGGAAUCCUAAACGGCCGCGGUAUCUUGACCGUGCAAAGGUAGAAAAAUAAUAUGCCCCCUAAUUAGGGGAUCAUACAAAGACACUACAAAAUAACACUUUCUUUUAAUGAUUUAAAAUUUAUAAAGAAGGUGAAAAUACCUUCCUCCCCCUAAAUGACAAAAAGUCCCUGGGAGCUUAAACACAAAUAUAAUAUAAAACAACGAAUGUUUUGCUGGGGCGGCCCUUUACAACCCUACAUUCCUAACCGAACAUACUUCCGACAUCUAACCCAAUAAUUAAAAAAAGUAAGCUACCCCAGGGAUAACAGGCUAAUAUUUUCCGAAAGCUCACAUUUACGAAAAUGUUUGGCACCUCGAUGUUGGCUUAGGGAACCUCUAGAUCGCAUCAGACCUAAAAGAGGGUUUGUUCAACCCUUAAAUCCCUACAUGAUCUGAGUUCCAACCGGAGA
rnacentral:rRNA from 1 species